AGAAGAUUUGGGAACAUCUGUGGUUAAGGUUCUUUCCGUGGCACAAAUGCUUUUCCUUCUAUUUUUGUUUGUUUUGUCGUGCAAACAUCAAUCAUCAAUGUCUUGUUGAAUGAUCAACCACUUCAAAUAUCUCACUGUUUUCAGAAGAAACUUUCAAUCUCUGAUCACAAAUUCCAAAGAAGAAUCCAUGGCCCAGUUCACUACACACGGUCGCUUGAAGCUGCUCUUCAAUGGGGAAGUUGGGUCAUCCAUUUUGGAGCACAACAAGGACCCUUUUCACUACAAGUGCAGCAGAUCAGCUCUGACACGCAAGAGAAGGCCAACAAGGUACAUGGGUUCUUCAGCUGGAGGAAUUCUUCGAUAUGCAACUUCAUCUAUGAGAAACAAAGCCAACCGUUGCAAUGCGGAGGCGCGCUUCACUGCUGGCAAUGAGGGUGUGCAUGAUGAAUAUGAAUAUGAUUCUGAUGGUGUUGAGGAUUUUGAUUAUGAAGAUGAUGUGUUUGGGUUUGAUGGAGAUGGCUUGUCUUGUUUCCGGGGUCUGGUAUUGGAUUUAGCUUACAGGCCAGUCAAUGUUGUAUGCUGGAAACGUGCCAUAUGUUUGGAGUUUAUGGAGAAGGCUGAUGUACUUGAGUAUUAUGAAAAGACUGUGAACUCCCCCAGUGGAUCUUUUUAUAUACCAGCUGUCUUAAGGGUUCCUCAUUUACUUCAGGUUGUUAAAAGAAGAAUAGUGAAGAACAAUCUUAGUCGCAAAAAUAUACUAUUCAGGGACCAUUUCACCUGUCAGUAUUGCUCUUCGCGUGAGAAUUUGACCAUUGAUCACGUGGUGCCUGCUGCACUAGGUGGAGAAUGGACAUGGGAAAAUCUAGUAAGACAAUAUUUUUCUCAUAUAGAAAAUACUUACUACUUGAUAUUUUUCUAAAAUUUAGCAUGCAUGAUCAUUAGGAUACAAGUAGCUGUCAUGAACACACUUUAAAUGGGUUAUUGCCUUAUUGGCAUUUCGUACGUGUAUAUUUGUCAUGGAUCUUCAUUUAUAGAACCUUUCCCCAUAGAUUUUCCUGGAAAAUCAGCAGUUGAGUUUUAUCGAAGGUGUUUGAUGCAUAAUUCAGUUGUCUGCACAUGAGGCUGAAGAACAAAAUUACAAACACAGAGAAGGCUUAUGAAAAUCUCUAUAUAUAAAUAGCUCAAGAUUUAUAGGAAAUACUAUAAAUCAACAAAUGACCGUCAAUUGUCUCUUCUCUGGCAGGGUAACCCAAAUUAUCAUUUUUCAGGGUUCAUUCUAUUUUGUUUCCAAAAAAGUACCACGUGUUUGUGAUGGAAGAAAAAAAAUCUAGCUAAUUGUGGGUACUUGGUUGGACUUCAAGCUGACUAUAAAGCUCAAUUAUGAUUUGAUACAUGAUUAUGCAAGUAGAAAUAGAAAGCUUCUAUUAACAUGGUUAAAAAAGGAACUUGACCUUUAAGAAUGCAUAAAAUAGGUAUUCAGUUUGAUAUCAAUUCUAGAAUCUUAAUUAUAAUUACUGCUCACUCCAUUUCUUUUUACUAAUUACUACCGUGACCGUGAUUAUCAAGAGUAGAGGACACCUAGUUACAAAUGAAAAGUUUCUUCUGGAUAAGUUUUUAACUGAUUGAAAGGGGAGGAAAGAGAUUUGUGAGAGUGAGUCUGAAGUCCUUCUUUCUCUUGAUAAUAGAACUCCUGUGCAGUUAGAACUUGGGAAAAUACUGAUUGACAUGAGAGAUCCCUGUGAAAAACUGAUCAAUUCUUUCUUGAGCUUUAAAAUGUGUGGCCAUUGUGUUACUGAAAAUGUUCUUGAAGAUCAUUCCAAAUUUCAACUGUAGUGGAAUAGAUGACGCUAGAAGUGAUUUUAAUAGGUACCCGGAGCUAGUUAGCAGUUUAGUUAGUUAGUUGAGGUAGUUUUAGUUAGUUUGGGAGAGUUACUUAGACAGUGUGUGAGAAUGUUAUAAAUAAGAGAACUUAGAGAGAAAUAGCAUCUUUUGGGAUCAUUAUUAUUGGGAAUUGGGAGAGACCAGGUUCUGUCGAAUAACCUGAAAAUUCAUACUGUUACUUCAAUAAAAUCAGUCUACUUUCUUCUUCAAUAGCUGGUACCUAUCAGAUUUCGGUGGAAAUGGAAUUGAGUUGCCAAGAAGCAACAAUAUGAUUGUCCCUCUGCCCAUGCCAGACGGCAGAAGCAGUUGAAUAUCAGAAUUUCCUGGUCAAACAAUGGAACCAUCUGCAAAACCAUUUUUGUUCUAUGCAAUCAAAGCCAUACACAUGGAAAGACACCAGAAACUGGAGUUUUCACCUUGAGUUGUUGAGAUACAAAAAUCAAUUCCAGGUUAUCAGAGGAGUGAAGAAGAAAGGACCUGAAGCAUCAUCCAUUGCAUUGAAAGCAGCCAGUGAUGAGGGAAGGACAAAGCUGGAAAGGAAUAGAAGAGAAUGCAGAGAAAACUAGGAAACUUUUUAUACUAUGUUUAGCCAGUGAGGUGACUGCUUGUGCCAAAUGCAACUCAAAGAAAGGUAAAAAAUCUUUAGAGGAGGCAAAAAUGAAGUUGAACAAAGUUCCAAAG